rnacentral:rRNA from 1 species
CAGCAGCCGCGGGAAUACGAAGGGGGCUAGCGUUGUUCGGAAUUACUGGGCGUAAAGCGCACGUAGGCGGAUUGAUCAGUCAGGGGUGAAAUCCCAGGGCUCAACCCUGGAACUGCCUUUGAUACUGUCGAUCUGGAGUAUGGAAGAGGUGAGUGGAAUUCCGAGUGUAGAGGUGAAAUUCGUAGAUAUUCGGAGGAACACCAGUGGCGAAGGCGGCUCACUGGUCCAUUACUGACGCUGAGGUGCGAAAGCGUGGGGAGCAAACAGGAUUAGAUACCCCUGUAGUCCCUGUCUCUUAUAC